rnacentral:rRNA from 1 species
CCUACGGGUGGCAGCAGUGAGGAAUAUUGGUCAAUGGACGCAAGUCUGAACCAGCCAUGCCGCGUGCAGGAAGACGGCUCUAUGAGUUGUAAACUGCUUUUGUACGAGGGUAAACGCAGAUACGUGUAUCUGUCUGAAAGUAUAGUACGAAUAAGGAUCGGCUAACUCCGUGCCAGCAGCCGCGGUAAUACGGAGGAUUCAAGCGUUAUCCGGAUUUAUUGGGUUUAAAGGGUGCGUAGGCGGUCGGAUAAGUUAGCGGUGAAAUCCCGAGGCUCAACUUCGGAAUUGCCUCUGAUACUGUUCGGCGAGAGAGUAGUGGCGGUAGGCGGAAUGUAUGGUGUAGCGGUGAAAUGCUUAGAGAUCAUACAGAACACCGAUUGCGAAGGCAGCUUACCAAGCUACUUCUGACGUUGAGGCACGAAAGCGUGGGGAGCAAACAGGAUUAGAUACCCGGGUAGGC